rnacentral:lncRNA from 1 species
CGCGCAGCCUUAUGCAUGCAAUGUGUGAUGCGGUCCACUGUGGACUGUGAGAGGAGUCACGAUCAAUGCCUCAUGCAUGGACCACCACAGUCCAAAGCCCGUUUAUCGCAGCUCAUGCAUGUGUGGACGAGCGUGCGACAUGCGGUGCAUGCGGAGUGGUUUCGAUUUACGCAGUGUGCAGUCCAUGCACAGUCCAGAGGGAUUUUUUUCAUGAUCCAAUGGUCAGAUCUUGAUGUGGUUG